rnacentral:rRNA from 1 species
UACGGAGGGUGCAAGCGUUAAUCGGAAUUACUGGGCGUAAAGAGUGCGUAGGUGGUUGAUUAAGUUAUCUGUGAAAUCCCUGGGCUUAACCUGGGCAGGUCAGAUGAUACUGAUUAACUCGAGUAUGGGAGAGGGUAGUGGAAUUUCCGGUGUAGCGGUGAAAUGCGUAGAGAUCGGAAGGAACACCAGUGGCGAAGGCGGCUACCUGGCCUAAUACUGACACUGGGGCACGAAAGCGUGGGGAGCAAACAGG